UGCCGGGUCGUCUAACGAGUAGGACGGCGGUCUCUGAAACCGCGAAUGCAUGUGCGAAUCAUGCCCCGGCAGCCA
rnacentral:tRNA from 1 species